GCGGUUCCGGCUCGGCGGCACGAGAAGAGAGCUUAGGUCGCUUCGUUCGGCGAUAACCUCAGGAGGCGCGGCCAGACCUGGGUUCGCGGAGGGGCGCGGGUAAGGGCCUGGGGCGGCGGUACGGAGUGCGGCCUCGAGACGAAGGUGGGCGUGCGACGAUGCAGGAGACACAGCUGGGGUACGGGCCGGAUACGUAGCGAGCGCAACCGUGGCCAGGAGCGAAGCUAGACCUCCACCGUCGGUUGGCGUAGCGGUUGGACGAAGUACUUGCUGCUUCUGGUCUCUGUUCAGGUAGCAGGACGGAAACGAGCGUGCGAAGAGGUCGCGGUUCAGGGCGAGCGCACCUGGAGCGGCCUGGUGAAGUAGCUACAGCGGCAGGGGACGGUCCGGGGCAGCGGGAGGAGAGGAAGGCGUACGUGGAAGCGAGCUGGGGCAGCGGGAGGUAGAGGUAGCACUGCAGCGCCCUGGCCGUCUAGACAGCGUGGCCGGUAUGAGGAGGUGCCGCCGGUGGCUUCCUCGUCGUCGUCGGGGCACGCGACGGGCUCGGAGGGGACGAAGCGGUUCGGCAGCAGAAGCCGGCUUAGGUGAAGGCGCAGCGGCCUAGAGCGGAGGCGGGUGGCGGUAGGAGAAGGAUCUCCUGGCGGCAGCGCGGGGACAAAAGGAGACGAAGUUCCUGCUCGGUCAGCGAGCACAAACUGGCUGAGGUCCAGUUGUGUGGGCGCACGCGCGACACGCCGUUGACGAAGGCGACACCGGGUCACGUAGGGGUUGGGUAGUGGAGACUACCGGGUUCCGGGUCCCAACCAAGGCUAUUGCAGCACAAACACUCCUAGGCAAGCUGGUACAGGCAAACAGAAGAACUACCUGAGCAAGAAGAAGGAACGCCCUAGAGUCGAACGUCCACAGCUACUAAGGUACGUCCACUGCGUUGGUUCGAGUUCCUCCUCGAGCUACUUCUAGCACAAGCAAUACAACAAGGCAAAGGCCAACUAGUCAUCACCUCGGGUCAACCCCACCAGCCCCUGGAUACGUUAUCCCCAUCAGAAGAAACUAAAACCAAGGCAUCAGCCUGGAACUAACAUAGACCUACUACAUUACGAAAUAAGUACAUAACACACUUCACCGCUAACAUUCGGUUGAUACAUAGGG
rnacentral:rRNA from 1 species